UACGUAGGAGGCGAGCGUUGUCCGGAAUUACUGGGCGUAAAGCGCGCGUUAGGUGGCGCAGCACGACAGGUGUGAAAGCCCCCGGCUCAACUGGGGAGGGUCGCCUGUAACGGCUGGGCUUAGAGUGCAGGAGGAGGGAUGUGGAACGUCCGGGAGUAGCGGUGAAAUGCGUAGAGACCCGGAGGAACACAGUGGCGAAGGCGGCAUCCUGGUCUGCGACUGACGCUGUGGCGCGAAAGCUAGGGGAGCGAACGGGA
rnacentral:rRNA from 1 species